rnacentral:misc_RNA from 1 species
CCGAGUUGUACCAACUCCCAAACCCCUGUGAACAUACCGCACGUUGCUUCGGCGGACCGCCCCGGCGCCCGACCCCCCCGGGGGAGACGGCCCGGACCCAGGCGCCCGCCGGGGGACCCAAACUCUUGCAUUCGCCCCCGGCGGAAUCUACCCUCUGAGUGACAAAACAAAUGAAUCA